UACGGGGGGGGCAAGCGUUGUUCGGAAUUACUGGGCGUAAAGGGCUCGUAGGCGGCCAACUAAGUCCGACGUGAAAUCCCCAGGCUUAACCUGGGAACUGCGUCGGAUACUGGAUGGCUUGAAUUCGGGAGAGGGAUGCGGAAUUCCAGGUGUAGUGGUGAAAUGCGUAGAUAUCGGGAGGAACACCAGUGGCGAAGGCGGCUUCCUGGCCUGUUCUUGACGCUGAGGCGCGAAAGCUAGGGGAGCAAACGGG
rnacentral:rRNA from 1 species